rnacentral:lncRNA from 1 species
GCACUUAUUUUUAUUUUAUGUCAAUUCAAAAAUCAUGCCUAAUAUUAUAGAAAAUUCCUCCCAAACUUUGAAACCCACCGCAAGAAAGGAAAGCAACAUAGAAACCCUAUUCGUUCCAGUUUCACCUCCAGCUCUCGUUCUCCAUACACAAAUCGAGCUAGCGUUUCUUCCAGUUUUGUUAUCCAAUCGAGUUUCCAGCUUUCAGUUUCCUUCCCAAAUCGAGGUGAAAGAAGUAACCCUACUUUAGGGUUUCUACGUUGACAU